CACGUAGGGUGCGAGCGUUGUCCGGAAUUAUUGGGCGUAAAGAGCUCGUAGGCGGUGUGUCGCGUCGGCCGUGAAAACCUGCAGCUUAACUGUGGGCGUGCGGUCGAUACGGGCAUCACUGGAGUUCGGCAGGGGAGACUGGAAUUCCUGGUGUAGCGGUGAAAUGCGCAGAUAUCAGGAGGAACACCGGUGGCGAAGGCGGCUAUCUGGACCGACAUUGACGCUGAGGCGCGAAAGCGUGGGGAGCAAACAGG
rnacentral:rRNA from 1 species